rnacentral:lncRNA from 1 species
GUCGUGUUUAUGGGAUUUUUUUUUUAUUUUUUUCAAUCAUCAAUUUGGAUUUUUCUUUUUUUUUUUUAUUACAAGCAGACAAUUUUGGUGGGCAACUAUUUAUCGAAAGUAAGCAAAGGGUAUAAUAUAUUAAUUGAAAAUGGUAUGGAUUAAUCUCUGUUCGGCGAUGUUGGUGCUGAAACUCCGGAUAUCUUUAGUAGUAUAUCUAUUGGUGAUGGUUUUGGAAACUAGUUUCUCUUGUCGCCCAUGACUAUCGUUGGUUUGCUCUGCGACUGGAAUUGUAAAAGCCAUUUCGACUGUGUGGGUACCGUGGAUUGGGACGGUGCUGGGUCUAUACUAGCUCAGUGCAGUGGAUGACGUGUUUGGAAGGCUUCCAGCUGUCUGUUGGUCUUGCUUUUCUGAGUUGAGUUGGGUUUGAUUUGUGGAUUGGAUCCUUGAGUUUCUUUAGGCUAUGGAGUUUGAUUGUUAGUGUAUUGAUAUUGUCCUGUACUAGGCUAUGUUAAAAUGCAAUAUCAUUUGCAUUGUUAAAAAAAAAAGUUAUCAUUUGAAAAAAAAAUUAUUAUUAUAUUUAAUUUUUAUAUGAAAGUAACUUCAUUAGUUUAUUGGAUUAAUUUUUGUUGCCUUUUUAGCAUUGUGUUAUGUA